rnacentral:rRNA from 1 species
UACGAAGGGGGCUAGCGUUGUUCGGAAUUACUGGGCGUAAAGCGCGCGCAGGCGGUCCUUCAAGUCAGAGGUGAAAGCCCGGGGCUCAACUCCGGAAUUGCCUUUAAAACUGCAUCGCUAGAGUUGUGGAGAGGUAAGUGGAAUUCCGAGUGUAGAGGUGAAAUUCGUAGAUAUUCGGAAGAACACCAGUGGCGAAGGCGACUUACUGGACACAUAUUGACGCUGAGGUGCGAAAGCGUGGGGAGCAAACAGG